GUGUCAGCAGCCGCGGUAAUACGUAGGGGGCAAGCGUUGUCCGGAAUUAUUGGGCGUAAAGCGCGCGCAGGCGGUUAAUUAAGUUGGGUGUUUAAGCCCGGGGCUCAACCCCGGUUCGCAUCCAAAACUGGUUGACUUGAGUGUAGGAGAGGAAAGUGGAAUUCCACGUGUAGCGGUGAAAUGCGUAGAGAUGUGGAGGAACACCAGUGGCGAAGGCGACUUUCUGGCCUAUAACUGACGCUGAGGCGCGAAAGCGUGGGGAGCAAACAGGAUUAGAUACCCUGGUAGUCC
rnacentral:rRNA from 1 species